rnacentral:snoRNA from 1 species
CAAAAUGAUGAAUGACAUUCCACUGUCCUUCAAUCCGGCGAUGAUUUCUUUGAAAUAUGUGCCGCGGAUUUAAACAUGCAUCACCAUCUGACC